UGAGUAACCUGCCCUUGACUCUGGGAUAAGCCUGGGAAACCGGGUCUAAUACCGGAUAUGACUUCCUGCCGCAUGGCGGGGGGUGGAAAGCUUUAGCGGUUUUGGAUGGACUCGCGGCCUAUCAGCUUGUUGGCGGGGUAAUGGCUCACCAAGGCGACGACGGGUAGCCGGCCUGAGAGGGUGACCGGCCACACUGGGACUGAGACACGGCCCAGACUCCUACGGGAGGCAG
rnacentral:rRNA from 1 species